CGCAGCCGCGGUAAUUCCAGCUCCAAUAGCGUAUAUUAAAGUUGUUGCAGUUAAAAAGCUCGUAGUUGAAUUUCGGGGUCAGUAGAUUGGUCGUGCCACUGGUAUGUACUGGUCUUACUGGCUCCUCCUUCCUGAUGAACCGUAAUGCCAUUAAUUUGGUGUUGCGGGGAAACUGGACUGUUACUUUGAAAAAUUAGAGUGUUUAAAGCAGGCUAACGCUUGAAUACAUUAGCAUGGAAUAAUGAAAUAGGACGUUCGAUCUUAUUUUGUUGGUUUCUAGGAUUGACGUAAUGAUUAAUAGGGAUAGUUGGGGGCAUUAGUAUUCAAUUGUCAGAGGUGAAAUUCUUGGAUUUAUUGAAGACUAACUACUGCGAAAGCAUUUUGCCAAGGAUGUUUUCAUUAAUCAAGAACGAAAGUUAGGGGAUCGAAGACGAUCAGAUACCGUCGUAG
rnacentral:rRNA from 1 species